GGAAUUUAUUGUCAGCGUUUCGUGAAACGCCUGAAACGUCAUACACUGCUGUCAAAUUAACCUAUGUUCCAUUUCCGGGAAAGAGUGUGUAUUUUAUCAUGUCUGGGAAAACUGAAUCAUAGACAUAUGCAGAGUUCUUGAGGCGGGGCAGUUGAAAAGGGAUUAACAUUUCACACUGUGUACUUAGGUAGAACAGAUACAUAUGUUUAAAAAAAACAAACAAUUCUACUCUUUAAGU